AUGAACGCUGGCGGCGUGCCUAAUACAUGCAAGUCGAGCGAACGGACGAGAAGCUUGCUUCUCUGAUGUUAGCGGCGGACGGGUGAGUAACACGUGGAUAACCUACCUAUAAGACUGGGAUAACUUCGGGAAACCGGAGCUAAUACCGGAUAAUAUUUUGAACCGCAUGGUUCAAAAGUGAAAGACGGUCUUGCUGUCACUUAUAGAUGGAACCGCGCUGCAUUAGCUAGUUGGUAAGGUAACGGCUUACCAAGGCAACGAUGCAUAGCCGACCUGAGAGGGUGAUCGGCCACACUGGAACUGAGACACGGUCCAGACUCCUACGGGAGGCAGCAGUAGGGAAUCUUCCGCAAUGGGCGAAAGCCUGACGGAGCAACGCCGCGUGAGUGAUGAAGGUCUUCGGAUCGUAAAACUCUGUUAUUAGGGAAGAACAUAUGUGUAAGUAACUGUGCACAUCUUGACGGUACCUAAUCAGAAAGCCACGGCUAACUACGUG
rnacentral:rRNA from 1 species